AGUGAACGCUGGCGGUAGGCCUAACACAUGCAAGUCGAACGGCAGCACAGUAAGAGCUUGCUCUUAUGGGUGGCGAGUGGCGGACGGGUGAGGUAUACAUCGGAAUCUACUUUUUCGUGGGGGAUAACGUAGGGAAACUUACGCUAAUACCGCAUACGACCUACGGGUGAAAGCAGGGGAUCUUCGGACCUUGCGCGAAUGAAUGAGCCGAUGUCGGAUUAGCUAGUUGGCGGGGUAAAGGCCCACCAAGGCGACGAUCCGUAGCUGGUCUGAGAGGAUGAUCAGCCACACUGGAACGGAGACACGGUCCAGACGCCUACGGGAGGCAGCAGUGGGGAAUAUUGGACAAUGGGCGCAAGCCUGAUCCAGCCAUACCGCGUGGGUGAAGAAGGCCUUCGGGUUGUAAAGCCCUUUUGUUGGGAAAGAAAAGCAGCAGGUUAAUACCCCGCUGUUCUGACGGUACCCAAAGAAUAAGCACCGGCUAACUUCGUG
rnacentral:rRNA from 1 species